GGGGCCGAUUUGGAUUUGACAGCAAGAUCAAUCAAAUCGUAAGCAUGUCGAGCUAUGAAGGUAAUGCUCGUAAAUCUCUACUUCAUCUUUUUUAAAUGGCGAAAAUACUUACGCUUUAGCUGCCUAAUAAUCUGAAUUACAGUAGGAUUUGGCCUAGUCCCGCAAGGCGGGAAAGCUGAAUGUCUCUAGAAAGCCCUUGUUGGCGGCGUUCUUUUAAGAGGCACCAUUAAAGUCAACAUCGAAUAGUUCCUGCUUCGAGAACUAUUCCAAAUAAAGAAGCUAAGGGAAUAAUAGGUUGUCGUUGAUCAGUUAUUCUUCGAAAAUCAAACAACGUCUAAGCAUGUAGAAAGCGUUUUUAUUGCUUGUUUGGACGAGGGUUCGAGUCCCUCCGGCUCCAC
rnacentral:sRNA from 1 species